GUGGGGAAUUUUGGACAAUGGGCGAAAGCCUGAUCCAGCCAUGCCGCGUGCAGGAUGAAGGCCUUCGGGUUGUAAACUGCUUUUGUACGGAACGAAAAGACUCCUUCUAAUAAAGGGGGUCCAUGACGGUACCGUAAGAAUAAGCACCGGCUAACUACGUGCCAGCAGCCGCGGUAAUACGUAGGGUGCAAGCGUUAAUCGGAAUUACUGGGCGUAAAGCGUGCGCAGGCGGUUAUAUAAGACAGAUGUGAAAUCCCCGGGCUCAACCUGGGAACUGCAUUUGUGACUGUAUAGCUAGAGUACGGUAGAGGGGGAUGGAAUUCCGCGUGUAGCAGUGAAAUGCGUAGAUAUGCGGAGGAACACCGAUGGCGAAGGCAAUCCCCUGGACCUGUACUGGCGCUCAUGCACGAAAGCGUGGGGAGCAAACAGGAUUAGAUACCCGAGUAGUCC
rnacentral:rRNA from 1 species